rnacentral:rRNA from 1 species
UGGGGAAUAUUGGACAAUGGGGGCAACCCUGAUCCAGCAACGCCGCGUGGAGGACGAAGGUCUUCGGAUUGUAAACUCCUGUCAGAGGGGACGAAGGCUACGGGGUUAACAGCCGCGUAGCUUGACGGUACUCUCAGAGGAAGCCACGGCUAACUCUGUGCCAGCAGCCGCGGUAAUACAGAGGUGGCUAGCGUUAUUCGGAAUUAUUGGGCGUAAAGGGCGCGUAGGCGGCCUGAUGUGUCCACGGUGAAAUCCCUCGGCUCAACCGAGGAACUGCCGCGGAAACUGUCGGGCUCGAGGCCGGGAGAGGGUGGUGGAAUUCCCAGUGUAGCGGUGAAAUGCGUAGAUAUUGGGAGGAACACCGGUGGCGAAGGCGGCCACCUGGACCGGUUCUGACGCUGAGGCGCGAAAGCGUGGGGAGCAAACAGGAUUAGAUACCCUGGUAGUCCACGCUGUAAACGAUGAGUGCUCGGUGUCGCGGGUAUCGACUCCUGCGGUGCCUUAGCUAACGCGUUAAGCACUCCGCCUGGGGAGUACGGUCGCAAGGCUGA